UGCGGCUCUUUGGAGGCGGUAGCUUCUUCGGCGUCGAGACUGGAGGCUGAGUCUAAACUGUGUGGGGCGCAAAUGGGAUCCGGCUGUUAGUCGGGUUGGCAUAGGGUUAACUCAUUUUUCAAAGAUGUUUGCUGGCUCAGAUUUGCAGUUAAAAUUGGUAACCUGAAAAACAACUUGCAAAAAAAGUGCUCUUAGGAAGGUGAUCUCUGGAAGUUUUUUUUAUGUAGUGAAAGAAAAUGAGAGACAAAUAGUUUAGUGGAAAGAGAAUAUAGGCUUUGGAUUCAGAAGAUCUGGCUUUGAAUCCCUGUUUUCCUCUUAUCGUAUGAGUGAGAUUUGGGGUAAGUUAUUUUAGUUUUUCUGAACUUUUGUUUCCGUAUCUGUAAAAUGGUGAUACUACUACUUCCUGCUUGGGAUUAUUGUGAGGAUUAAGUUAGAAAAGGUAUAAAAAGCCCCUAUCCUUUGGCACAUAGUAGGUACUUAAUA